rnacentral:rRNA from 1 species
UAUUAUUUUAGCGGCGGACGGGUGAGUAACGUGUGGGCAACCUACCUUUUACUGUGGAAUAAUCGUUGGAAACGACGACUAAUACCGCAUACGGUUCUUGGAAGGCAUCUUCUAAGAAAGAAAGGAGUAAUUCGGUAAAAGAUGGGCCCGCAUCUGAUUAGCUAGUUGGUGAGAUAAUAGCCCACCAAGGCAACGAUCAGUAGCCGACCUGAGAGGGUGACCGGCCACAUUGGGACUGAGACACGGCCCAAACUCCUACGGAAGGCAGCAG